AAGUCGUAACAAGGUUUCCGUAGGUGAACCUGCGGAAGGAUCAUUGAUAAUUUGUAUGUAUGGGUUCCUUUUGGGCCUGUAUACCACUGUGCACUGUGAGUGUUGUGUGGGGUGGCUGUGGGAGCGGCUUUUUGGCUGCGCCUGCACACCCCAAAAGAUGACUAUGGAUGACAUUUUUGUUUAUAAAAAAAACAACUUUCAGCAACGGAUCUCUAGGUUCUCGCAUCGAUGAAGAACGUAGCAAAGUGCGAAAAGUAAUGUGCAUUGCAACCGUGAAUCAUUGAAUCUUUGAACGCAUCUUGCACCUCUUUGUGAAAAGAGGUACGCCUGUGUCAGUAUCAGCCAAACCCCUCAACACCUCGGUGUUGGCUUUGGGCUCUGUUCCGUGUCAAAGCGGAUAGCCCGGAAACGAGCGGGUGGAGGUCGGUUGGCAGCAGUAGUCCCCGAUGGCUUUAUAUUCAUAUUCAGUCAGCGAACCACUGCGCCAGUCGGUGCUUACCCAAAAACACACCCAAAUUUGAUCUGACAUCAGGUGGGAUGACCCGCUGAACUUAAGCAUAUCAAUAAGCGGAGGAAAAGAAACUAACAAGGAUUCCCCUAGUAACGGCGAGUGAAGAGGGAAGAGCUCAAAUUUAAAACCAAACACUUGUUGUUUGGGUUGUAAACUAAAGAGGCGUUUUCGAGGCCACAGCAAGGGACAAGUCUCCUGGAACGGAGCAUCAUAGAGGGUGAGAAUCCCGUUUAUGCCCUUGGUUGUGUACCGGUGUGAUACGCUUUCAACGAGUCAGGUUGUUUGGGAAUGCAGCCUAAAAUGGGUGAUAAAUUCCAUCUAAAGCUAAAUAUUGGCGAGAGACCGAUAGCGAACAAGUACCGUGAGGGAAAGAUGAAAAGAACUUUGAAAAGAGAGUUAAACAGUACGUGAAAUUGCUGAAAGGGAAGCGAUGACAGGCAGUGUCGGUCAGGACGAAGCUUGUGUGCGGGUGAUAACGGGGUGAUGCAGAUACCCUUUGGGUGUCGGUCAGUUCCAACGACCCGGACGCGAGCGGUGCUGGCUUUUUGACUGUGAUCGACC
rnacentral:rRNA from 1 species